rnacentral:rRNA from 1 species
UUAAAUUGAAGAGUUUGAUCAUGGCUCAGAUUGAACGCUGGCGGCAGGCCUAACACAUGCAAGUCGAACGGUAGCACAGAGAGCUUGCUCUCGGGUGACGAGUGGCGGACGGGUGAGUAAUGUCUGGGAAACUGCCCGAUGGAGGGGGAUAACUACUGGAAACGG